CCCAGACUCCUACGGGAGGCAGCAGUGGGGAAUAUUGGACAAUGGGGGGAACCCUGAUCCAGCGACGCCGCGUGAGUGAAGAAGUAUUUCGGUAUGUAAAGCUCUAUCAGCAGGGAAGAAAGAAAUGACGGUACCUGACUAAGAAGCCCCGGCUAACUACGUGCCAGCAGCCGCGGUAAUACGUAGGGGGCAAGCGUUAUCCGGAUUCACUGGGUGUAAAGGGAGCGUAGACGGCGACGCAAGUCUGGAGUGAAAGCCCGGGGCCCAACCCCGGGACUGCUCUGGAAACUGCGUCGCUGGAGUACGGGAGGGGCAGGCGGAAUUCCUGGUGUAGCGGUGAAAUGCGUAGAUAUCAGGAGGAACACCGGUGGCGAAGGCGGCCUGCUGGACUGCAACUGACGCUGAGGCCCGAAAGCGUGGGGAGCAAACAGGAUUAGAUACCCCUGUAUAC
rnacentral:rRNA from 1 species